GUAUCUUUAAUGGCAAUGCAAGAGUUAAUUGAAAGACCGAAAUAAUCCAAGCAAUCACCCCCAAAGUAAGAGAAGAAAAGUUAAAAAAAUGGCUACCAUAAUAACUUUAUUUCAUCCUCCUUUAAUUCUAAUAAAAACUAGGUAUUCAAAUGUUUGCAUAGUGAUUUUGUUUGGCGUUAACCUCAUACCCUACUCUCAUUUUUGCAACAUAGUCUUGUAGGUUUAUAGAAAAUCGGCAUUUGAUUCACCAUCUAAAUCACCAUCAAUCUCAGAAUCAGUAUCAUCAAGAUUAUUGACUUUAGAAGUAAACGUCACGUAAUUGCUCACGCGCUCCUCAUCUGGAUCUGAGCUACUUGAAGAAUCUCUAUCACUCCAGGUUACACAGAUUUUUUAGGGUAUUGGCACAUUCAACUUUUAUGUGGCUAAAUCCAUGACAUUAAUGGCAUUGAAU
rnacentral:lncRNA from 1 species